UGGGGAAUUUUGGACAAUGGGCGCAAGCCUGAUCCAGCAAUGCCGCGUGCGGGAAGAAGGCCUUCGGGUUGUAAACCGCUUUUGUCAGGGAAGAAAUCUCUUGGGCUAAUACCUCGGGGAAAUGACGGUACCUGAAGAAUAAGCACCGGCUAACUACGUGCCAGCAGCCGCGGUAAUACGUAGGGUGCGAGCGUUAAUCGGAAUUACUGGGCGUAAAGCGUGCGCAGGCGGUUGUGCAAGACAGAUGUGAAAUCCCCGGGCUCAACCUGGGAACCGCAUUUGUGACUGCACGGCUAGAGUGCGGCAGAGGGGGAUGGAAUUCCGCGUGUAGCAGUGAAAUGCGUAGAUAUGCGGAGGAACACCGAUGGCGAAGGCAAUCCCGUGGGCCUGCACUGACGCUCA
rnacentral:rRNA from 1 species